AUGGCGCCAUCCGCGCGAGUGUCGCUGAUGCUCGCCGUGGUGCUCGCGUGCGCGCUGCUCGCCACCGGCGGCCUCGUGUGCAAUCCGCUCCAGGACAAGACGUGCAAGCCGGGGGACCCCAAGGCGCCCGAGAACACGGAGGAGGGGGGCGGGUUCGGCGCGAGGCUGUCAUCGCCGCCCAUUCCGGGCCACGGUAUGAUCGACGGAGACAUCGACGACGAGUUGCCGUCGUUCAGCACCCACAAGACCAUCCUCGGCCACUGGGAGGAUCCGGUGCUCGAAGUCUGA
rnacentral:rRNA from 1 species